UGUCCAAGAGCACAUGUGUCUUUGGCACCAUCGGUGGUUGCAAGGUUCCGGAAGAAAGGAGAGGCAACCGUGUGUGAGAGUUAACCCAAGUGUGCUGCCCACGGAUGACAGGACUGGAGUUGACAGAAACCACAGCAAGUGGUUUUGCAAGGAUCCUUCUUUCUCCUUCAGAUAUUUAUAUCUUCUGCCAUCGUUUCAACAAAGCCUGUCUUGGUGGUGCCUUUACCUGGACAUCCAGCAACGAGCUGGCAUUUGACAUGCAGGGAUACAUACACACAGGGUUACCUCUGUGAGAGUGUGUGUGUGUGUGUGUGUGUGUGUGCGCGCGCACGCACACCCAGCAGACCCCCGACAUCCCAGAGUGCAGACACCAAUGCCUCCAAGACCCACAAAUUCAGCACAGCAAAUGCACCGACUUCACCAAGAACAAACAGUCAAGCUCCAGUGUGGCUCCUGGGUGGCUGGCUAGGUUCCUCCAGAGUUACACAUCCCGGGAAGGGCGGGGACAGGAGCACCACACCCCCAAAGCCGCACCCACUCCAGUGGACCCGUGAAUGCCAGUCGUUGGAGAGACGCGACUUUCCAGCACAGACCUAGGGGACUGGACUGGAGCUCUGCUUCCAGGAAGCGUGGCUGGAGACCUUGAGCAAGUCACCUCUCCGCUUGGAGCUCAGGUCUCCUCCUGUUCCCUGCGGGGACGGUCAGUCCUGUCCGGCCUCUCUCGAGAUUAUCGUGAGGACUGAACUGCUGGACGUGUACCAAACCGUCCGUGCGCUGUUCGGUCCCGUGUGAGCAUGGGGCUGAUCUUCCAGGCGUGUGGCUGCACGCGUUUUAGGAUCAGUUAGCACCUGCGACCGCAGACCUCCUCCCAGGGCUGUGCUAGGGAUGCAGGAUGUCACAACGCUGAGCGCCCAGCUCACAGCAAGAGCUUCGAAAAUCAAUCUCCUUCUCCUCUUCCUCUCCCCCUCCCUCUUCAUUAUAAGCAUUAUUAUUAAUUGUUAUUCUACACAAAGCGAAGACAUGCUUUAGUUCGAAAACACGGAGAGGGACCAGUG